rnacentral:rRNA from 1 species
AUUGAACGCUGGCGGCAGGCUUAACACAUGCAAGUCGAGCGGAGAGAGGUAGCUUGCUACUGAUCUUAGCGGCGGACGGGUGAGUAAUGCUUAGGAAUCUGCCUAUUAGUGGGGGACAACAUUUCGAAAGGAAUGCUAAUACCGCAUACGUCCUACGGGAGAAAGCAGGGGAUCUUCGGACCUUGCGCUAAUAGAUGAGCCUAAGUCGGAUUAGCUAGUUGGUGGGGUAAAGGCCUACCAAGGCGACGAUCUGUAGCGGGUCUGAGAGGAUGAUCCGCCACACUGGGACUGAGACACGGCCCAGACUCCUACGGGAGGCAGAAGUGGGGAAUAUUGGACAAUGGGCGGAAGCCUGAUCUAGCCAUGCCGCGUGUGUGAAGAAGGCCUUAUGGUUGUAAAGCACUUUAAGCGAGGAGGAGGCUACUUUAGUUAAUACCUAGAGAUAGUGGACGUUACUCGCAGAAUAAGCACCGGCUAACUCUGUGCCAGCAGCCGCCGUAAAAC